CAAAAAAAAAGAAAAAAAAAGUAAAAAGAAAAGAAAAAGAAAGGGAAAAAAAAG
rnacentral:ribozyme from 1 species